rnacentral:rRNA from 1 species
AUUGAACGCUGGCGGCAGGCCUAACACAUGCAAGUCGAACGAGUGGCGGACGGGUGAGUAAUGUCUGGGAAACUGCCUGAUGGAGGGGGAUAACUACUGGAAACGGUAGCUAAUACCGCAUAACAUCAGAUGUGCCCAGAUGGGAUUAGCUAGUUGGUGGGGUAACGGCUCACCAAGGCGACGAUCCCUAGCUGGUCUGAGAGGAUGACCAGCCAAUCUGGAAAUGAGACACGGUCCAGACUCCUACGGGAGGCAGCAGUGGGGAAUAUUGCACAAUGGGCGCAAGCAUGGUGCAGCAAUGCCGCGUGUAUGAAGAAGGCCUGCGGGUUGUAAAGUACUUUCAGCGGGGAGGCGUUACCCGCAGAAGAAGCACCGGCUAACUCCGUGCCAGCAGCCGCGGUAAUUC